rnacentral:rRNA from 1 species
GCAUGCAAGUCGCGCGAGAAAGGAGCAAUCCGAGUACAGCGGCGUAAGGGUGAGUAAUGGUUCGUCAACGUACCGAGCAGACGCGAAUAAUUUCCCGAAAGGGAUUGUAAUGCGCGAUGAGACCACGGGCUGUACGCAGCUUGGGGUCAAAGGUCGGGGAUCCUUCGGGACCCGGCGCUGUUUGCGCGGACGAACUCUGAUUAGCUAGUUGGCGGGGUAACGGCCCACCAAGGCGAUGAUCAGUAGCCGGGCUGAGAGGCUGUCCGGCCACACGGGCACUGAGACACUGGCCCGACUCCUACGGGAGGCUGCAGUCGCG